rnacentral:rRNA from 1 species
AGUGAACGCUGGCGGUAGGCCUAACACAUGCAAGUCGAACGGCAGCACAGGAGAGCUUGCUCUCUGGGUGGCGAGUGGCGGACGGGUGAGGAAUACAUCGGAAUCUACUUUGUCGUGGGGGAUAACGUAGGGAAACUUACGCUAAUACCGCAUACGACCUACGGGUGAAAGCAGGGGACCUUCGGCCCUUGCCCGAUUGACUGAGCCGAUGUCGGAUUAGCUAGUUGGCGGGGUAAAGGCCCACCAAGGCGACGAUCCGUAGCUGGUCUGAGAGGAUGAACAGCCACACUGGAACUGAGACACGGUCCAGACUCCUACGGGAGGCAGCAGUGGGGAAUAUUGGACAAUGGGCGCAAGCCUGAUCCAGCCAUACCGCGUGGGUGAAGAAGGCCUUCGGGUUGUAAAGCCCUUUUGUUGGGAAAGAAAUCCAGCUGGCUAAUACCCGGUUGGGAUGACGGUACCCAAAGAAUAAGCACCGGCUAACUUCGUGCCAGCAGCCGCCGUAA